CACAUGCACAUCGAGCUUUUCGUCAACACCUGGAUCAAAGGUUAACCAUUUCGGUCAAUGAUCAAGCCCAUGUUUAUCCAGAGAUUUUGAACAAAAACUGCAAAACAACUUCUUCCCUUCCUCCUGCCCAAAUAAUUCAUGAUAAAUCGCCUUACACUUGAGCAUGCGCACUCAUUUUGACGCGGUGUCCCAUAAGCCCGUCCCGACACACCGGGUCGCGCACGCGCAAACAGAAUGGCCAUUUUCUCGUGAUCUGUCGAGAUGAUGUUAGCGCGGAAGUGUAUGAACAAAGAAGGCUCUGUAAUUUGAGAAAUGGAUAACCAACACAGAAGAGGAAGAGGCUAUAUCAAACACGGUAGAGAUUUCCAGUUAUGAAUGACAUUGAAAAAGCCAUUGAGUACUUUAAAAAACAUUUGACAACUGCAAUACAAAAUGGUGAUCGGCACCGUGAAGAAGGAGCCUAUAGCAGUCUAGGUAAUGUUUACCAGUUACUGGGUGACUAUCGAGAAGCCAUCCAGUAUCAUG